UCCCCUGUACUCUGCUGGUUGGGUAGCCAGACUUUGAAUCUGGUGUGCGUAGGUUCGAUUCCUGCCAGGGGAG
rnacentral:tRNA from 1 species